ensembl:lncRNA
UUGUUCUUAAACGUCCGAUAGGAAUAAAGUCGGAUUUUAUUUAGUUACACAUUAACAAAAGCAAGAUUCAAAGAUGAUUCACACAUCAUAUUUGUUUAGACGAGGUCGUCAGCGUGCGUAAAGCCUUGAGGAUAAUUACUGGUGUGAAAUAUAGUUUUCCAAUCAGAGAGGAGAUCUGAGCAUCUUUUUGUUUUUCUCUUCUCUGCUCCUGUGAGAACCGAAGGAUAACGUUAAAAUAUGUUAAAAUAUCACAAGAGCAAUGGCGGAACCAGUCACAUUAAAUUUCAAUUAAAAAGUGUACAUAUACAUUUAAGAUAAUCUGCUGGGGAGAAUGCAGAGCGCUAAAAGCAGACCAGCUGUGUUCUUCAGAGGGUGGAGGUGAAGCUCCGCCUCCUCAGGUGACCACCGCGGGACCUGAUUAUAGAAAAGAAACCUGUACAGUGUCAAUGGAGAGAGACGUGUAGCUACUGGGUUUACUGGUGCCAUUCGUUGGGUGUCUGUCGAUACUAAAGGUACUUUGUGGUAAGAAUAAGAGAUGCUUGUUCUUUGUCAUCUGCUGACAUCUCACUUCCUCUCAGAGCUCCACCAGGACACUGAGGCUCCGCCCCUCUCGUUAGAGCCCAUUGAGAGCCGGGGCAGCUGGGAGUUUGUCCCCUCGUAGUCCACUGGGGAGGGUUAGUUAAACCAGGGUCACGGGUCAGAGGUCAACCCCGCCCCUGCUGCUAGAGCAGCUCUAAUCGACGCACAGCCGAGCGCCUCGUGGCGUCACGAGAAAAGUAGUGAUCGCAGAGCAGGAAGUGAGAGGAAGUGGGAGGAAGUGGGAGGAAAUGAAAGGAAGGUGGAGGAAGUGGGAGAAAGUGAGAGGAAGUGAAAGGAAGCGGGUGGAAGCAGGUGGAAGUGGGAGAAAGGUGGAGGAAGAUAAGAGGAAGUGAGAGGAAGCGGGUGGAAGUGGGAGGAAAUUAAAGGAAGGUGGAGGAAGUGGGAGAAAGUGAGAGGAAGUGAGAGGAAGUAGGUGGAAAUGGGAGGAAAUUAAAUCCUCUUCUAUUUAAUUACAUUUAAUAUGAGAAGUAAUAAUGAUGAGAUUGUUAUGAAGCAUCUAAGUAAAUAGAAAGAAGCAAGACGUGGCAACCUCCUUCUACACUUAAUGAAAUGAAGCUGUUGAAGUCAGUCGGUCAUCUGGACGAAGGUCCGAUGAGGCGACCGAGGACUGAAACGGGUUUCAUACAUUAACGCUUUAAUAACGAUGGUGGAGACGAGCUCGUCCCACACGUGGACGGGACGUGGAUUCUGCCUGUUGUUACGCCGUUAAACUGAAAUCAUCUGCUUUCACACUCGGAUCCUUUCGGGGAAACAGAAGCAAAGAUGGACACCUGGAGGAGACCUGACGAAGAGGAGGAGGAGGAGAGCUUCCUCAGCUCUGCAAACCACUUCAGCUCUCACUUGAGUGCCUCUCUUUGGGCCACACGGACCCCCGCCUCACCGCUCCAAAUGGGAAUUCCUCGACUCGGCAAAGGACCCCCCCCCCGGGCAUUCGGCACACACCGAGGGGCAUUCAAAACGCAUUAACACCAAAUCAAUGGGAAACAGGGAAAGAAGCAAAAGAGAAGAAAUCUCCUUAGCAACAUAAUCUAGUGAGAAGAAAAGGAAAAGAGACGUUUACGGGGGGGGGGGGGCGAAAAAUGAAAAAUGAACACAGAAGAAACUGUUCCUUUUUCUCUCUUUUCUUUCCACGGGAGCACAAUCAGCUACAUUAAGGC